rnacentral:rRNA from 1 species
AGCAGCCGCCGCGGUAAUACGUAGGUCCCGAGCGUUGUCCGGAUUUAUUGGGCGUAAAGCGAGCGCAGGCGGUUAGAUAAGUCUGAAGUUAAAGGCUGUGGCUUAACCAUAGUACGCUUUGGAAACUGUUUAACUUGAGUGCAGAAGGGGAGAGUGGAAUUCCAUGUGUAGCGGUGAAAUGCGUAGAUAUAUGGAGGAACACCGGUGGCGAAAGCGGCUCUCUGGUCUGUAACUGACGCUGAGGCCCGAAAGCGUGGGGAGCAAACAGGAUUAGAUACCCGCGUAGUCCCUGUCUCUUAUACA